UACGGAGGAUGCAAGCGUUAUCCGGAAUGAUUGGGCGUAAAGCGUCCGCAGGUGGCAAUGUAAGUCUGCUGUCAAAGCGUCUGGCUCAACCAGAUAAAGGCAGUGGAAACUACAUAGCUAGAGUAAGGUAGGGGUAGAGGGAAUUCCUGGUGUAGCGGUGAAAUGCGUAGAGAUCAGGAAGAACACCGGUGGCGAAAGCGCUCUGCUGGACCUUAACUGACACUGAGGGACGAAGGCCAGGGGAGCAAACGGG
rnacentral:rRNA from 1 species